GCUGACGAGCGGCGGACGGGUGAGUAAUGUCUGGGGAUCUGCCCGAGGGCGGGGGAUAACCACUGGAAACGGUGGCUAAUACCGCAUAAUGUCGCAAGACCAAAGUGGGGGACCUGAAAGGGCCUCACGCCGUAGGAUGAACCCAGAUGGGAUUAGCUGGUAGGUAGGGUAAUGGCCUACCUAGGCGACGAUCUCUAGCUGGUCUGAGAGGUAGACCAGCCACACUGGGACUGAGACACGGCCCAGACUCAUACGGGAGGCAGCAGUGGGGAAUAUUGCACAAUGGGCGCAAGCCUGAUGCAGCCAUGCCGCGUGUAUGAAGAAGGCCUUCGGGUUGUAAAGUACUUUCAGCGGGGAGGAAGGGUUGAGCCUGAAGAGGGUUGAAUUUUGACGUUACCCGCAGAAGAAGCACCGGCUAACUCCGUGCCAGCAGCCGCGGUAAUACGGAGGGUGCAAGCGUUAAUCGGAAAUGACUGGGCGUAAAAGAGCACGCAGGGCGGUCAAUUUAAGUUAAGAUGUGGAAAAUCCCCAGGGCUCAACCCUGGGAAACGGGCAUCUAAAGACUGGGUUGACUGGGAGGUCUCCGUAGAGGGGGGGGUAGAAAUUCCAUUGUGUAGGCGGUGAAAAUGGCGUAG
rnacentral:rRNA from 1 species